rnacentral:rRNA from 1 species
UGCAAGCGUUAUCCGGAUUCACUGGGUUUAAAGGGAGCGUAGGUGGCUUUGUAAGUCAGUGGUGAAAUCUUAGAGCUUAACUCUAAAACUGCCAUUGAUACUGCUUAGCUUGAAUCAAGUCGAGGUGGAUGGAAUAUUACAUGUAGCGGUGAAAUGCUUAGAUAUGUAAUAGAACACCAAUUGCGAAGGCAGCUGGCUAGACCUGGAUUGACGCUGAGGCACGAAAGCGUGGGGAGCGAACAGG